UGAGGUGUAGCCCAGUGAUAGAGCUCAUGCUUAGCAUGCAUGAGGCUCUGGGUUCCAUCCCCAGCACUAAAA
rnacentral:tRNA from 1 species